AAUGGAGCAGAGACUGGAGCAGAGACAAGUUGUUCCCACUGAGCUCUCCUCAGAUUACAGAUUGGUCUGAUUAUAAAAGGAGAAUUGGAGGCUUACCAAACAUCUGAAGAGCUUUCCAGAAGUUUGGUCACUUCUGAAUUAGAGAAGUUAAAACCCAAUCACCUACUAAUGCUGUGGGAAAGUUCUGCAGGUGAUACAUCACAGGGGCUCAUGAAUGUGUCUUAAGCUGGGUCAUUGAAGUGGAAUGUUUUCACAAGACCUCCUCCACUUGCUACUGUGUCCGGAAUUGGUGGGUUCUUGGUCUCACUGACUUCAAGAAUGAAGCCGCGGACCCUCGCGUAGCUGCAGCAUCAACCCAGUGCCCUGACUUUCAAGACGACUAUGAAAACACCCCAACUGCUGCUAAAUUACCAGCAACAAGGAUCUGUUUGCAGCAUCACAGAAAAUGAUGCUCUCUCCUGCCAAGUCCCAUUUUUUGGGAGGAGGAAAUGGAUUAGGUCCUGGAGGUUGUCAUAAAUGCAUCAAGUGACUUUCUCAGCAUCAUCUGAAACAAUUGAAGAUCCUAAAAAAAUGAUAGCAGCUUUUAAGAAGGACUAUAGUGGAACAAGCAAUAUUCUAAGUGACAAGAGACACAGAUUCUAGAAUAAACUUAGCCAAAUAUGUA
rnacentral:lncRNA from 1 species